rnacentral:rRNA from 1 species
AUGUGGGUUAGUCCGCACGAGCGCACCCUAUCCUUAUUUGCCAGCGCGUUAUGGCGGGAACUCUAAGGAGACUGCCGGUGAUAAACCGGAGGAAGGUGGGGACGACGUCAAGUCAUCAUGGCCCUUACGGGAUGGGCUACACACGUGCUACAAUGGCGUAUACAGAGUGCUGCAAUACCGCGAGGUGGAGCGAAUCACACAAAGUACGUCGUAGUCCGGAUCGGAGUCUGCAACUCGACUCCGUGAAGUCGGAAUCGCUAGUAAUCGUAGAUCAGAAUGCUACGGUGAAUACGUUCCCGGGCCUUGUACACACCGCCCGUCACACCAUGGGAGUGGGAUGCAAAAGAAGUGGCUAGUUUAACCUUUCGGGGAGGACGGUCACCACUUUGUGUUUCAUGACUGGGGUGAAGUCGUAACAAGGUAACCCUAGGGGAACCUGGGGUUGGAUCACCUCCUUAUCUU